UAGGUUGGUGCAAAGGUAAUUGCAGUUUUUGCCAUUAAAAUUGAUGUAAAAAACCGCAAAUUACUUUUGCACCAACCUGAUAA
ensembl:miRNA